GUCCCAUGUGUGGAAAUGUCACAAAGGACAUAGUCACACAGGGCACAAAGACUUCCGGGAACGGAAAUACUUUUGAAGGCUGGUGACAGAGGACCAGAUGGAGGACUCCAUGCCCCCAGAAGAUGCUGGAACCACUAGACAAGAGGAGCCUCUGUCUGUGAAUGGCUUGGUGGAUCAGGCCUCUUCCAACCUCCAUCAGACUGUGACAUGAACAACAUUAUUUUGAUGAGACAGAACCAAGAUGGAGUGAUCUCAAAAUAGGCAGUCUGGACAGCAAUCUGGAC